GGGGCACAGGUAUUAUAUAUAUAUAUAUAUAUAUAUAUAUAUAUAUAUAUAUAUAUAUAUUCCGGCCUCCCAC